rnacentral:miRNA from 1 species
GAUUUCUGCCUUGUGCCGC